AAAAAGCUGGCACGCACAUAUCUCUCCUUUUUUUUUUCUAGUUUCUCUCUCUCAGUCUCUUUCCCUCUCUCGAUCCACCCUCAAAUCCGAUGCCACCGUUGCGUGUCGGUUCUCCUUCUUUGCAACUCGGUGCGCCACCGGUGUGUAUUGUUGCUCCACUGUUGUAGCUUGUUGGGAUUCUUCUUAUAGCAACACAGAUCUAUGAUAUGUUUGUUCCUUCAAGCCAUGCCAAUCGGGAUUUUCUUUGUCCCACGAUUUAGGUUAGAUUUGAAUUCCAUUCUUACUCAUAUAUCUUUUCUUUGAAAUUCUUUUAUUUGAAUUCGGUUUGGUGUUUAACAAUGCCAAAACCCUAGGUUUCUUAAUUUCCCUCAUGAAGAUGGCGGUUCCUCCGUCUCUUUAUCUUCCCUUUUCUCAAAGUUGCAGAAACCUUAGGAUGAACAACUUCCUUUGCAGAUCUGAAACAAACAUGUAAGAGGUUUCUCGGGUUAUUAUGGAGUGUUUCUUGAAGCUUUAUUAUCAAUCUGAGAGUCCGUAUACUUGGGAUUCUGCUUUGACUCGGUUACUAUGAAGAGAGGUAGUUAUACGAAUUAUUUCUAGCUAUUCAUAAAAUAAUAUUUUGCUGGCUAUUUUGAUUUUUAGGAUGAAUAACAAAACCUAUUGGAUGCUUGAGGGAAGAGUGUUAGUCCAGAAAUUCAGUGACACUUGUUCACAACGGGUGCUAGUAAGUCGAAUCAUAUUUGUGUGAAGAAGUGAUUUUGAGUUGACCAUUGGAUGCACGAAUCUCCUCGUUCAGUGAUUUUACAGUUGGAUAGUGUUGAAACUUGGAUGCACGAAUCAUCCUAUUUGUAUUAAAGGGUUUAUAUUGGUCAAGCAAUGUAGUCAUCAAAAUACAACAAGAUAUUCAAUGAACGAGGAGAUUCAAAGCCAUAAGUUAUUCCAAUUUACAAGAAUUUGUGGAGCUUCCUAAACCUGAUAAGUCAUUUGAGUAUUUACAAAUUGAAGGAAGGAGAGCAUCAUUCACUAUUAUCCUCACAACAUGAAAUCUACACAAGAGCAAGGUUCUACAAAUGCACACUGAGGUUCAGAGAAGACUCAAAUGAGCAAACUUGAGGUCCUGUGUUAUAUAUAUUUUCUACUUGAUUGGUAUGGCUUUGUAUGCCCUUUGCAAAUCAUUACUCUUGAUUUGUUGGUGAUUUUUGAUGAAGCAACAUCUGAUAAAUUGGAGUAUGUUCUUAGAGAAAAUAGGGAGGCUUCCAUGCUAUACUAGGUCUCUUCAAUAGUUGAUUAGUUAAUUAGAUGUUGAAUUAGAAGUUGGACUGUUUUUAUCUUUUAUUUUAUUUUAGUGUACUUGGCUAGUUUUGUCAAAGGUGUGAAAUAUCUGUGUAAGAAAAUUUAGUAUUUUAUAUUUUUUACCAAUUUAUAAUUAAUAUAAA